GAAUUUUAAAAAUCCAUACAUCAACUCAUAUUUCUCUAAAAAUUAAUUAUUAAUCAGCCAUUAUAAGAAAAAAAAGAAAGAGAAAGCAAGCAAGCAAGGAAGAAAGAAAGAAAGGAAGGAAGGAAGGAAGGAAGGAAGGAAGGAAAGAAUAAAUAAAUAAAGGAAAGAAAGAAAGAAAGAGAAGAAAAAGGAAAAGAAAGAAAGACAGAGAGAAAGAAAGGAAGGAAGGGGGAGGGUCAGAGGGAAGGAAAGAAGAAAGAGUGAGUCAGACAAGGAGAUGUGAGUUAGCUUUGUAAAUAUCCAUAAUCCAUUUUUAACUAUAACUAAGAAAUCACGUUGUCCAAGGCCUUGGGAGUCCACUCCUUGUACCAGUAUGCCUUGGAUGUUGGACACGAAAUCAAAAGAGAUUAUUUUGGAGCUUUAAGUUUUAAUGACUGCCUUGCUGGGAUUCAAACUUGCUUGGGGCCUGUAUCUUCUUUCUUUUGGUCAAUUUCUCCCUUUUUGAACAGGAAUGCUUACCCAAUUCCUAUACCUCCAUUGUAUCUUGGAAGUAAAUAACCUGAUUUUUAUUUUACAGGAUCAUAGAUGGAAGGGACUUGCCUUGUCUCAGACAGGACUUGGGACUUUUGAGUCAAUGCUGGAAUCAGUUAAGAAUUUAGGGGACUGUUGGGAAGGCAUGAUACCAUUUUGAAAUGUCAAAAGGGCAUGAGAUUUUCAAAGGGCCAGAGCAGAAUGAUAUACUUUUCAGAAUGAUAUCCCCCAAAUAUCAUGUUGAAUUGUAAUCCCCAAUGCUGGGGUGAGGUCUUGUGGGAGGUGUUUGGAUCAUGGAGGCAGAUCUCUCAUGACUUGGUACUUACUUCAUGAUAGUGAGUUCUCAUGGGAUCUAGUCCUUUAAAAGUGUGUGGCACCUCCUCUGCUCACUCUCUUUCUUGCUCCUGCUUUUACCAUGUGACGUGCCAGCUCUCCCUUUACCUUCUGCCAUGUUUGGGAGCUUCCUGAGGCCUUCCCAGAAGCAGAUGCCAGUAUGCUGCCUGUACAACCUGCAGAACUAAACCAAUUCUAUUCUAUGAACUGUCAAAUAUGAUCAACAUAUCCUUCACAUCUACGUUCAAAUCAAAGCUGGAGCCAUCGCAUGAAUAUGUACACUUUAAAAUUCACAAAAGGACAUUCUCACAGGUUCACUGGAGCUUAAUGAGUAGUUAAUAUAUCUGCACCGAAGUGACAGGGGAGAAGUGUUACUCAGCAAUGGCUAACCGGAACAUCUUCCAUUAUUAUUGAUUAUAUGAGUUUGAAAUUAUGAAAAUUGUUGGAGAGUUUCCUUAUCAAAUCUUUCCUAUGUAGUAAUAUAGUUGGAGCCAUCACAAAGCUGAAUUUUGAAGCAGUUCACAGGUUCCAGGAUAACCAGAUGACUGAGGAAUGUUGAAGAUUGCAGUGAUGGAAGUGCCUCAGUCAGCCUGGAAGACUGUAUGGAUGGAGGUUGCCUGGCCACACUGUCAUGUCCCUCUCUCCCUGAAAAAGAGACACAUUUGCCUUUGGGCAAGGCAAUACAUACAUUUGGUCUAUGUAUACACUUUGGUCUAUGCAUUCUGUUAUUUAACAUUCUAAUAAUGUUGAUGACCUUAAAAUAUGCUUGACAAUGAUCCGUGUAAAUCAUUAUUAUUCUGCCUUCUGCAAGAUAAGAAUUAUGGGCCAGGUAUGGCACUUAACGCCUAUAAUACAAACAUUUUGGAAGGCCAAGGCAGGAGGAUUGCUUGAGCUCAGGAGUUAGAGACCAGCUUGGGCAACAUAGUGAGACCUCAUCUCUACUAAAAAUAAAACAAAAAAAGUUAUGAGAGUGACACUGCACUCCAGCUUGGGUGACAGAGCGAGAUCCUGUAUCCAAAUAAAUAAAUAUCUAAUAUAGGAAUUAUCAAAUUCAACACAUAUUAAUUAUUUUCAUAUCCAUUUAUGGAAAAUAAUAAUGUGGGGAUGAUUCUUAAAAGGGAUUCUGGAAGUGGUUUCUUCAAUUAAAUAUAUUCAAAACUCAUUCCCGCUUACUACACAAAUCAAAGAGGAAUUGAAAAUGUGUGUGAUUCCCACUAAAUUAUUUUCCUUUCAUAUGGCUUGAUGUUACUGUCUUUGUGGAGUGGCUGAGAAAUGUCUCCUUCUUGCCUUUAUCUUCAAAGGCUCUGCCAAUGUGAAGUACAGGAGAGAGAGGCAAGAGCAGGGCCCACUAGUGGAAUCAUCUCAGCCUUAUUCCCCAGGGGAAAACACAUUCUUUUUCACUUUCCUGAGCUGCCUUAUCUGAUAAAAAUGAUUCUUACAUCUCCCAGCAAUGCCUUCUGAUUGUAAUGUAGUUUAUGCCACUGGUUUGCCUAUUUCUCAAAUAUAAACCUACACGCAUGUACACACAUUUGGCCUUAGCCUUUCUAAUUCCACUCUCAUCAGGACAGAUUGCACACCUGUAAACAUUCUUAGAUCAACUCCAGUAAUCAAUCCACAUUCAUGUAACCCCUGCAGAAUAAAGAUCAUUGGAGACCUUCAAGAUUGACUUCCCAUUUAAACCGUAAGAAAACAAGACCCCAAUGUGUCAGCUGCAGAACCACAAUAAGGACCUAAGUCCCAUGUCUUAUUGUUCAGUGGUUUUUCUAAGUCACUGUAAAAUUUUUCUACAUUCCUGGCCUGAGAACAGAAGUACCUUUUGCUUAUCUAUUCAAUUAAAUUCAGUAGUUGGUAAAUGUGAAUAAAGGAAAUCAAAACACUAUUGAAGAUUAUUUAGAUAUGGCUGAGAAGUGGGGUGAACAAACCUGACCCACUUUAACUUAGAGAUUCAAAAUAUAAACUUAACUCAGUUGCAGUCAACAACCUGACAUUAAAUGCAAACAUACAAGUAAAGAACCCAAGUAAACAGAAAAAACUAACCUGCUACCUACCUUUAAACACUAAAUAUAGAGCUCCUGUCGUCCUGUUUCUUACUGAUUUAUAACUUCAAAUAAUGGGUCAAGAAAAAAGCUACAUAUAUGAAAAGAUGAGAUCUGCGUUUCAAUCCAAAUCUUUCUUUCAAUAACCCUACUACUUGAAACCAUAGAAGGAGACAGGAACUUCCUCCCUUGUUUCUUUUUUCUUUUUCAAAACUACCCACUAAUCUUUUAAUUAAAAGUGAAUGAUGGAGAGAUGGCAAGUGAGCAGGAGAAGCUGAGGAACACAGCUCCCUUAUGUAUUUGCACAACGCUAAUCACUCUUCACAUCUUACAGAGAGAUCUGUACUAGUUACAUGGAAUCUAAUCUGUUCUACUAAAGCUGAUGCUGUCAGCUGCCAUGCUUAGCUCUCAUUCAUUAUGCUUGUAGACACAUUUUGAGAAAAUACAUUAUCUAGAAGAGAAACUUCUAAGAAGGUUUUAUAUACUAUAUGAUGCUAAUAUUUUAGAUAAUGUUUUAUGCUAGUUUAAUCUUUGUGUAUUGAAAGAACUCUGAUUUUCCUGGAAGUCCCUAGACAGUACAUUUAAUUAAUCUUACCUCUCAGUUCAACAAGUUGCCUUUUACUUUAGUCAUAUAAUCAAUCUCUUGGUAAUAAUAUAUAGUGAUAUCCAGGCAUGUAUGAUGCAAGCAAGUUUUUAGUUUAAAGCUAAGGAAUUAAAAUGAAAACAAUACAUAGUGCUCUCUGUACAACAAUGACUGAGAAUAGGUAGUCGUGCUCUUUAUAUACAAGGCACUGUGCUGAGCAUAUUUUGUAAGUUAUUGCCAUGAUUCCAUGUAAUUAUGUAUUAUAAUUUUACCUUUGAAGAAGAUAAGCCUCAAAAAUGGCAAGCAGUUCACCCACCCACAUUUAAAUGUCUGUUACACCUCUGAGAUAUACAACCCAUGAAUUCUACCAUUAUUCACUCUGUCUGUCAACUCCAUUCUGUCUUCAUGUACCUCCCAGCCCAAUUGAUGUGUCAAGGCAUUGGAUUUAAUUCAUUCACUCCAGAAAUAUUUAUCACAUGCUUAUAGGUGCUUGGCUCUCUUCUAGGUGCCCAAGUCACAUCAGUGAAAAAAAAAAAUAAACAAGAUCCUCAUCCUCAUCAAGCUUAUAUUUAUUUCCCAACAUCUGAUUUCAAUUUCCUUGCCAUGCACUCCUUUCAUCAUAGAAGCCUUACAAAAUCCCCAAUCCAAUUGAAUCUAAUUCUGUGCUUCAUGUUUCUCACCCUCGCUUGGUAAAACCCACAACUGUGCUUGCCGGAUUUUACCAUAAAUUACUAACCAUGAACUUCAAGUGGUCUAUUAGUGAUCAGUACCAACGCUUUAAUAGUUGUCUGCUCCUUUGACUCUUUCACAUUCCUAAAAGAUUUUCCAUUUUUCUCUGUCUCCUUCCAGCAACUCCUGGCCAAUUCUUAUCUCACCUAAUGACUUUGAUUCUUAUUAUACAAAGACAAUAGUAAAAAUCAGAAGAGUACUUAUACAAACUACCACCAUGAAAAUCAUCACUCUACCUGUAUCUCUCCCGACUCUUGAUCAUCCUUCCUACCACUGUGGAGAAAUUUUUCUGUGCAUUUUUGUUCUCAGUACUGCUGAAGAUUUUUUCCAUGCUUCUGUCCAAGGAGGGCAUCUCUUCACUAGAUCCCAGUUGUAUCAUUCUAGCAUUGGCGCUUAUUUUCUCGCAUAUCACUGGCUUUCCAAUUUUUCCCUUUUAAAAGGAUAAUUCUUAUAAAUUUACAGCUAUAAUAGAUAACAGAAAAAAGCCUCUCUUGAUCCAAGGUCUCCUUCCGUUUCCCACCCCAUUUAUCUCUUUUUCUUUACAUUAAAGUUUUUCCAACUGUUUCCAGUUUCUCCCACAGAAUUCUCUCCUUAAUCUAGCCCUGGAAGACUCUCAGGCCUAUGACUUCAAAAUGAGAUCCUCCACCCAGACCAUUAUUGAUCUCAAAGUUGCUAAGUUCAGGUAAAUUCCUGGUACUUGUCUUACUUGACCUCUGUGGUGCUUAAAUUAGCUGAUCCCUUUCCUUCUUGAAACACAUUGUCCAGUUUAUUUCCAGGAUGCCAUUUUCUUGAUUCUUCUCAUGAGAUUCUGCUCAGAUUUCUUUGUUUGAUCUUUCUCAACUCUCCAGCCUUUGAAAUUUGGGAUGCACUAAAACUCAGUCCAUUGAUAUUUCCUUUUAAAAAUGCCCAUUGCCCUACUGAACACAUCUAGUCUCGUAUCAUCUACACAUGGAUGAUUUCCCAAUUUAUAUUUCCACAUUUAAAUGCCUACUCUAAAUAUUUGCAUGGCUAUCUAAAAAGCAUCUCAAAUGUAACAUGCCCAUAUUUGAUCUCCCUCAUACUUCCCUCUUCCAAUAAAAUUUUCAAGUCUUCUUCUCAGUAAUGGUAAAUACUCUCUACGGCCAUAUCAUCCUGAACAUGCACAAUCUCAUUAACAAUGGCAAAUACUUUCUUCCAGAUGCUGAUGUGGAAAACCUAAUGUUCAUCCUUGAUUAAUAUUUUUCUCUUACAUCACAUAUCUCACCCACCCCUGUACCACCUGUUUCAAGCCAUCAUCACUUUACACCUGCAUUAUUGCAAUAUCCUCCUAAGAAGCUGCUCUUUUUUUUCACCACCUCCAACAUCAGCUCGUAACACAGCAGCCAAAAUGACCAUUUUAAAAUAAAAGUUAGAUCCUCUCUCUCUCUCAGUAUAAACGCUCUUUCUCAGAGUAAAAGCCAGGUCUAACAAUGGCACCUCAUAAUUGUCCAUCUUAUCUCCUGACCUCAUUUCUUACCUCUCUCCUUCUCUAGCUCUUUUCCUUAUACCCUGGAAUCCUUGAACUUGAUCCAGACUCAGGACCUCUUCCUGGAACAUUCUACUCUCUGAUAGCUCUAGAACUAGAAUAUAAGGUAAAUAACACUUGCUGAUUUGAAAAAUAUACUACAAACCUAAGUGGUUUAAUACAAUAUCUUUUUUUUUUUUUUUUUGGCUAAUAUUACAGUCCAGUGAGAAUAUGACAGCACCUCUGGUUAGCUCUCUUCUAAGCAGAGAUUAAGUCCUUGAUUUUGGUCCUAAAGAGAGAAAGAAAAAGCAAGGAGAAGAGUACAGUGAGUUUUAAGAGUCUGACCUGUAAAUGGCCUACAUUUUUCCUUCCCACAUUUCAACAACUACUGCUCAGUCUCAUGACUAAUCUAUCUGCAAAGAGAUAAAUUCAGAAGCACAAAGCUAGCCUAAAUAUUAGAAUGCCCCCCCCCCCCAGAUCUCUGCCACAUUAGUCCCCUGCUUUCCUCAGGAAGACAAGGGAAACUUUUUCUGGCUACCCUGCUUACAAGAGCAACACUUCCUAAAUUAAAUGUUGCUCAGUGAUCUCCAAUCCUGCUUGUUUGUUUGCUGGUUUGAGACAGAGUCAUGCUCUGUCACCCAGGCUGGAGUGCAGUGGUGUGAUCUUGGCUCACUCUAAGCUCCACCUCAUGGGUUCAAGUGAUUAUCCUGCCUCAGCCUCCCAAGUAGCUGGGAUUACAGGUGCCCAGCACUACGCCUGGCUAAUUUUUGUAUUUUUAGUUGAGACGGGGUUUCACCAUGUUGGCCAGGCUAGUCUCAAACUCCUGACCUCAAGUGAUCCAUCUGCCUCGGCCUCCCAAAGUGCUGGGAUUACAGGUGUGACCCACUGGGCCCGGCCCAAUCCUGUUUUUUUAAUGUCCCUGGACACCCAGCUCAACUGCAUGUUUUGCUUUUCUUAAAGUUAGGUGAAGUCAGGCAAUGGAGCUUUUAGACAAGAAAAUGCAUAUAAACUGAGUGGAAUUGAUCAAACCUUGUAAUCCUGCUUCCUUAAAAUGCCUGUGUGCUGUUCUCUACUCCCUUUCUUCAACCACCAACUGAACACAGGGUUCUAGAGUUCUCAGGAGGGCAGAUACAAGAGAGCAGGAGGAUGGGUUCCUGAAUGACCACAUGGAAGGCUUCCCACUAAUAAGAAAUCUUAGUAUUGGACUUCACAUAAACACUGAGAAAAUGGCUCUUUGGGAAGCCACUAAAAUUUUUUUAUUUAUCUGUUAUAGCAGUUAGUUAUAGCCUUCCCAAUUCAAUGUCCUAUGUCUCUGAAUGUGCUUUAUUUAAAACCACAUCACUUAUCACCAUCUGACAUAUUCUGUAUUUGCCUGUCACUUUUUCUCCUGUGUCUUCUGUCCAGAGAAAGUGUUGGCCAACUAUAACCCAAGAGCCAAAUCUAGCUUGCUUCCUGUUUUCAUAUGUAAUUAUUUAUUGGAAUAUAGCCACAGCUAUUCAUUUCUGUAUUUAGAGAGGAGCUGUGUCUAUGCUACAACAGGAGAGUUCAGUAGUUGCAACAGAGAAACUGUAUGAUCUACAAACAAUAUUUACUAUCUGGCCCUUUACAGAAACAGUUUGCCAAUGUUUGUACUAGAAUGUAAACUCCAAGAAUGUAAAACCUUUGUCUCUUUAGUUUGCUGUUAUAUACCCAGCAUUAGAACAGUCUCUGGUCCAUUGCAGGUAUUCAUAUAAUAUUUGUUAAAUGCAUAAUUGAAUAAGUGAAUGAGUGUGCAGCAAGCCAAAAAUGUUCCAGAAAAAAAAUUCAUAUCUAAAUUUCUUGAACCUCUGAAUAUUGCCUUACAUGAAAAAUCAGACAAACAAAAAUCAAUCAUUGCAUGUGAUUAAGUUAAAGAUCUUGACCUAAAAGAUUAUCCAGUAUUAGCCAGAUGGACUCUAAAUACAAUCACAUGUAUCUGUAUAAGAGGGAAGCAGAAAGAAAUUUGACCACACAGACAGAAAAGGAGAGGGGAUGUGAUCACACAGGCAGAGGUUAGACUGAUGUACCACAAGCCAAUGAAUGUUGGUGGCCACUAGAAAUAUUAUCUAAAGGAUUAGGAAUUAUCUGUUUAGAACUUUCCUGAUGGCCACACCCUCCAAACCCCCGAUACUGAUUUCAGAUUUAUGACAUCCAGAACUGUAAAAGAAUAAAUUUCUAUUGUUUAAGCCACCAAGUUUCCAGUAAUUUGUUACAGAGGCAGCAGGAAACCAAUACAGAGGGGAAAAUGACUUAAAACUACUUCUAAUUCCAAGAUAAUGUUCAAAAUGUUCAUGCAAAAACUACUUCUUGUGUCAACAUUCAGUCUAUAUAAGUGCUCUUGAAAUUAAUUAUCACUAUAAUUCAGUCUCAUGAGGAAAAAUAUUUUGGCUUUUUUUGUGAACCAAAAAUUUAUAGCAAUUCAUAAGUUACAGUUUAUGGAUGAAAUUAAACAUAUUUGAGAUUAUUUUUAUAUUAGCACUUUAUAAAUCAGUUGCUGAAAUAGUCUGUUUUGAAAUAUUAGAUAUAACUGCCAGGAAUAAUUCUGAUAUUUUCUUUAACACAUUUUAGUCAUUUCUUGAAUUGCAAUGUUUUAUUAUCAUAAAUUGCCAAACUAAUAAAAUUAAUUGCUAUUGAAAAAUAAGAAUUGUGAAUGUCUUCAGGGUGAGGGCUGAGCAUGUAAAAAGUUUUUUUUUUUCCUUAAAAAAAUGGGACUCAGGGGAGGAAGUUCCCUUCUUCUCCUUCAGAGAAUGUGGUCAUGAUCAUUUCUCCCUGCAAAGACCUGGAAAGGCUGCAGCCGUUUUGGAAAUACGGACUUACACUUGGCUGAUAGGCUGAGUCUGGGAGAGUGCAAAGAUGAAAAAACACCUAGCACAUGGAUCGUGUCACUGAGCUACUGAAUCAAUCACGGAACCAUGCUCCAUCUGUACUUUGUGUUCUCUCAUAGAAUAAAUGUUCACUUUGGGUUGUGUAUCCAUUACUUGAAGCUAAAAAUCUCCCCAUGUAGGCAAUGAUCACUACAAUGGGUUACUUACGUUUCUGAGUAACGUACUCAUUUAAUGAAAAAAAGAUAGAGCAAAGUCCUCAAUCAUAUUUAUCAAUUAACAAGGGUCUGACUAAAACUACUUGAGGUUCCAGGGAGAUAACGUGGGAACCAAGAUAUUUAAUUGUCCAUCUGCCAUUUGAGGAUUUUUUUUUCCCCACAAAAGGAAUCAAUUUGUGUAGCCAUGAUGGUGACUUCAGCUGAUGCCUCUGUUGAGCACUGGCUGUACUGUUUAAAUGAUAUACUAAAAUGGACAAAUGGGCAGAAGCUUCUUCACAAAGAGCAAAUCUAUCUCUGGUUUGCGUGGUAACUUUCAUGCCUGUAGUAGAAUAAACUUCAAUAUAUCCUAUUUAUAAAAUUGCUCUGAAAAUGGAAGACAUCUUAAAAUGUUGGCAUGCACUCAAUAAGGUGGUAUUCUCUCCAAAUUUAAUAUAAAAUUAAUGUUUUAAAAUUGACAACAUCUUUGAAUCUACAAAAUACAUGUGCCCCACUCCAGACCUACUGCCACAUUGACUCUAUACCUACUAAUCUAACAAAUAGUGAGCUUGUUUGGAUUUUGCCAAAAGCAAAUAUUUAAACAUGAGAACAGUUAAUAUUCCCAAUUGCUGCUUCAUAUAAAACUAAGCUAGCAUUUAUUUUAUCUCCCUGUCUUGUUCCUUGUGCACUGUUCUGGCUCUGUAAGAACACUAGACUUUGCAUGAGAAAACUAAGGAUUCAACUGAAGAUGAUUUAUUAAGUUGGUGAUUUAUUUAAGUACAUUUAUUGUCAUUGUUUUGCAACACAUAAUACAAUUUCCAAAAUAACUAGGAAUUGUUUUCUUCUAUUUUAUAUUGUUUUUUGAAUUUCCUCUAUGAAGGAAUCAUUUAACCUUUCAGUUUAGGCACUAUAUUUUUUACCUCAUUAUGCAACAGAAAUGUUUUGAAAGUUGUAGUCUGAAACCCAGAAUUCAGUCUUAGCUCCACAACUUAGUGGUUACUUAGCUCUUCCAAUCUCUGCAUUUGCAUAAGUUUGGGGAUAACCGUAAUUAAGAUACCUUACCUUAAGUGGUAAGAUUUGGGGAUUAAAUGACAAAAUCAGAAAAGUCUUUGUUUGUGUUUAAGUUCUGUAUACAGAUGUUCCU
rnacentral:lncRNA from 1 species